rnacentral:rRNA from 1 species
GGUGAACGCUGGCGGCGUGCCUAAUACAUGCAAGUCGAGCGGACGGACGCGAAUCUUGAUUCUCUGCUGUUAACGGCGGCCGGGUGAGUAACCCGUGGGUACCCUACCUCUCAGGCUGAGAUAACUUCGUGACACCGGCGCUCAUACCGGGUAAUAUUUUGAACCGCAUGGUUCAAAAGUGAAUGACGGUCUUGCUGUCACUUAUAGAUGGUUCCGCGCUGCAUUAGCUAGUUGGUAAGGUGACGGCUUACCAAGGCACCGAUGCUUAGCCGCCCUGAGAGGGGGAUUGAGCAAACUGGAACUGAGACACGGUACAGACUCCGACGGGAGGAAGCAGUAGAGAAUCUUACGGGAGGGGGGAGAGCCUGACGGAGCAACGCCGCGGGAGGGAUGAAGGUCCUCUGAUCGGAAAACGCUGAUAGCAGGGAAGAAGAUAUGUGUAAGUAACUGUGCACAUCAUGACGGUACCGAAUCAGAAAGCCACGGCUAACUACGUG